UGGUGGAGCAGCUUCAUAAUUGGGGCCACAGCAUGCAUGGGCGUAGAGCCAUGGCAAAUUACCACACAGCAAGCAGCAAAGACAAAUCAGCCUACCAGGUCACGGUAAUGGCCAGCGGUGGGAGACAAAAUAGGCCCGUGUCCUUCAUUCCUCUGUGCAUUGGCUGUGCGGCGAGCGUGGCAUGGACUGUGUCACUGCAUUCGCUUGCUGAAGAAGCGUCAUCAUCGUUCAUCAGACGGUUGCAAAGGCUCCACUCCCAGACCAGGAAUGAUGGUCACCGUUGCGUAGUAGGGUCGCCGUAAUGAUGCCUGAAAAAAAAAAGAGAGAAAAGACGUGGACCAGCAGUAGAAGAAUAGUACAGUAGCUACCCAGCAGUUACAUAGCACUUCUAGUGGAAUCUGGUUGUAAAUUCUUGGGACAGCCAUGGCGGUCGAAGAUCCUGCAAGCUGACUCCGAACCUCGAAGCCUCAGAUGCCUUACAAAACACUGUGCACCGUACUGAGCUUAUA